GGUCUUAUAGUCAUGUAAGAUGAUAUUAAAUUGCAAGUUUAGAGGAGUAAAAUUUUACUAAGACUU
rnacentral:tRNA from 1 species